AAAUGACCUUGUGCUCACUUUGGCAGCAAAAUUGGAACAAUAAAGAGGUUAGCAUGGUCCCUGCAGAAGGAUGACAUGCAAAUUUGUGAAGUGUUCCAUAUUUUU
ensembl:snRNA U6 U6 spliceosomal RNA